GCACGAAAGGCGUAACGAUUUGGGCACUGUCUCAACGAGAGACUCGGUGAAAUCAUAGUACCUGUGAAGAUGCAGGUUACCCGCGACAGGACGGAAAGACCCCGUGGAGCUUUACUGUAGCCUGAUAUUGAAAUUCGGCACAGCUUGUACAGGAUAGGUAGGAGCCUUUGAAACGUGAGCGCUAGCUUACGUGGAGGCGCUGGUGGGAUACUACCCUAGCUGUGUUGGCUUUCUAACCCGCACCACUUAUCGUGGUGGGAGACAGUGUCAGGCGGGCAGUUUGACUGGGGCGGUCGCCUCCUAAAAGGUAACGGAGGCGCUCAAAGGUUCCCUCAGAAUGGUUGGAAAUCAUUCAUAGAGUGUAAAGGCAUAAGGGAGCUUGACUGCGAGACCUACAAGUCGAGCAGGGUCGAAAGACGGACUUAGUGAUCCGGUGGUUCCGCAUGGAAGGGCCAUCGCUCAACGGAUAAAAGCUACCCCGGGGAUAACAGGCUUAUCUCCCCCAAGAGUUCACAUCGACGGGGAGGUUUGGCACCUCGAUGUCGGCUCAUCGCAUCCUGGGGCUGUAGUCGGUCCCAAGGGUUGGGCUGUUCGCCCAUUAAAGCGGUACGCGAGCUGGGUUCAGAACGUCGUGAGACAGUUCGGUCCCUAUCCGUCGUGGGCGUAGGAAAUUUGAGAGGAGCUGUCCUUAGUACGAGAGGACCGGGAUGGACAUACCUCUGGUGUACCAGUUGUCGUGCCAACGGCAUAGCUGGGUAGCUAUGUAUGGACGGGAUAAGUGCUGAAAGCAUCUAAGCAUGAAGCCCCCCUCAAGAUGAGAUUUCCCAACUUCGGUUAUAAGAUCCCUCAAAGAUGAUGAGGUUAAUAGGUUCGAGGUGGAAGCGUGGUGACACGUGGAGCUGACGAAUACUAAUCGAUCGAAGACUUAAUCAAUUU
rnacentral:rRNA from 1 species